AUUGAACGCUGGCGGCAGGCCUAACACAUGCAAGUCAAACGGUAACAGGAAACAGCUUGCUGUUUCGCUGACGAGUGGAGGACGGGUGAGUAAUGUCUGGGAAACUGCCUGAUGGAGGGGGAUAACUACUGGAAACGGUAGCUAAUACCGCAUAACGUCGCAAGACCAAAGAGGGGGACCCUCGGGCCUCUUGCCAUCGGAUGUGCCCAGAUGGGAUUAGCUUGUUGGUGGGGUAACGGCUCACCAAGGCGACGAUGCCUAGCUGGUCUGAGAGGAUGACCGGCCACAAUGGAACUGAGACACGGUCCAGACUCCUACGGGAGGCAGCAGGAGGGAAUCUUCCGCAAGGGGCGAAAGCCUGACGGAGCAACGCCGCGUGAGGGAUGAAGGUCUUCGGAUCGUAAAACUCUGUUAUUAGGGAAGAACAAAUGUGUAAGUAACUAUGCACGUCUUGACGGUACCUAAUCAGAAAGCCACGGCUAACUACGUG
rnacentral:rRNA from 1 species